AGUGAACGCUGGCGGCGUGCUUAACACAUGCAAGUCGUACGAGAAAGCCUCUGCUUGCAGAGGCGAGUAAAGUGGCGCACGGGUGAGUAACACGUGGGUAAUCUGCCCUUGAAUUGGGGAUAACAUUGCGAAAGCGAUGCUAAUACCGAAUGACAUCCAUAAGUCUUCGGAUUUAUGGAUCAAAGGUGGCCUCUUCUUGAAAGCUACUGUUUGAGGAUGAGCCCGCGUCCCAUUAGCUCGUUGGUAGGGUAAUGGCCUACCAAGGCUACGAUGGGUAGCUGGUCUGAGAGGAUGAUCAGCCACACUGGAACUGACACACGGUCCAGACUCCUACGGGAGGCAGCAGUGAGGAAUUUUGCGCAAUGGGGGAAACCCUGACGCAGCAACGCCGCGUGAGUGAUGAAGGCCUUCGGGUCGUAAAGCUCUGUCAAGUGGGAAGAACCCGCAUUUGGCUAAUAUCCAUUUGCGCUGACGGUACCACUGAAGGAAGCACCGGCUAACUCCGUGCCAGCAGCCGCGGUAAUACGGAGGGUGUGAGCGUUAAUCGGAAUUACUGGGCGUAAAGCGCGCGUAGGCGGUUUGUUAAGUCGGAUGUGAAAGCCCCGGGCUCAACCUGGGAAUUGCAUUCGAUACUGGCCGAC
rnacentral:rRNA from 1 species